UAUAACAAUUCCCUUCUGCUAAUAAGAGUCAUGAGUUUCCAUCAAAAAUACACUGCUGCGUUGUUAUUCUUUUUUCUUCUUCUUCUUCUCCUUCUUUCCGCAGCCUCUUCCGUUAAUUUUAAAUAUGGGAGUUUGUUGUUUGAGAAGAAAGCAAUAUUAGAUUCAACACCCCCGAGUUGCCAAGACAAGUGCCAUGGAUGCCAGCCAUGUCGUGCGGUUCAAGUGCCUGAACCGAAUCCUCCUCCAGGUCCAAUUGAAAAUCCAGGUUAUAUUGGAGAUCCAGGUUAUAAGCCAAUCGUUUGGAAGUGUAAAUGUGGUGGCAAAUUUUAGGCCUGAUGCAUAAAUUUGCCUUUGAAAUUUAUACGAUUUGUCUUGUAGCACUUCAAGUUUGUGAGAUUUAUCAUGAUCCUACAUUUUGACAUUUCCAUAAUAACUAUAACUUUCGCCAAAAUAAAAUGUAAAAGUCCAACUCUAACAAUUUAUUUUAGCGAAAGACAUAAUUAUUAUUAAAAUGUCAAAGUAUAGGGUCAUGAUAGGUCCCCACAAAUUUGAGGGAGAAAUUUCAAGCGCAAAUCUAUGCAUUUGACCAAAUUUUAUGAUAGUCAAUGAUCUUAGUUCUAAGGUGCCUAUAAUAUGAUGUUAAUGAAAUUCUGAGGCUAAAUAUAAUCUUAAAAACAAAAAUUUAGCCUCUACAAAUAAUUAAUUAAUGUUUAUUAUUAUUUUUCAUUAAUAGAAUAGAAUCUGGUG